CUUUUACAAUGAAGAGUUUGAUCCUGGCUCAGGAUGAACGCUAGCUACAGGCUUAACACAUGCAAGUCGAGGGGCAGCAUUUUAGUUUGCUUGCAAACUGAAGAUGGCGACCGGCGCACGGGUGAGUAACACGUAUCCAACCUGCCGAUAACUCCGGGAUAGCCUUUCGAAAGAAAGAUUAAUACCGGAUGGCAUACGAAUAUCGCAUGAUAUUUUUAUUAAAGAAUUUCGGUUAUCGAUGGGGAUGCGUUCCAUUAGUUUGUUGGCGGGGUAACGGCCCACCAAGACUACGAUGGAUAGGGGUUCUGAGAGGAAGGUCCCCCACAUUGGAACUGAGACACGGUCCAAACUCCUACGGGAGGCAGCAGUGAGGAAUAUUGGUCAAUGGGCGAGAGCCUGAACCAGCCAAGUAGCGUGAAGGAUGAAGGCUCUAUGGGUCGUAAACUUCUUUUAUAUGGGAAUAAAGUUUUCCACGUGUGGAAUUUUGUAUGUACCAUAUGAAUAAGGAUCGGCUAACUCCGUGCCAGCAGCCGCGGUAAUACGGAGGAUCCGAGCGUUAUCCGGAUUUAUUGGGUUUAAAGGGAGCGUAGGUGGAUUGUUAAGUCAGUUGUGAAAGUUUGCGGCUCAACCGUAAAAUUGCAGUUGAAACUGGCAGUCUUGAGUACAGUAGAGGUGGGCGGAAUUCGUGGUGUAGCGGUGAAAUGCUUAGAUAUCACGAAGAACUCCGAUUGCGAAGGCAGCUCACUAGACUGUCACUGACACUGAUGCUCGAAAGUGUGGGUAUCAAACAGGAUUAGAUACCCUGGUAGUCCACACAGUAAACGAUGAAUACUCGCUGUUUGCGAUAUACAGUAAGCGGCCAAGCGAAAGCAUUAAGUAUUCCACCUGGGGAGUACGCCGGCAACGGUGAAACUCAAAGGAAUUGACGGGGGCCCGCACAAGCGGAGGAACAUGUGGUUUAAUUCGAUGAUACGCGAGGAACCUUACCCGGGCUUAAAUUGCAACAGAAUAUAUUGGAAACAGUAUAGCCGUAAGGCUGUUGUGAAGGUGCUGCAUGGUUGUCGUCAGCUCGUGCCGUGAGGUGUCGGCUUAAGUGCCAUAACGAGCGCAACCCUUAUCUUUAGUUACUAACAGGUGAUGCUGAGGACUCUAGAGAGACUGCCGUCGUAAGAUGUGAGGAAGGUGGGGAUGACGUCAAAUCAGCACGGCCCUUACGUCCGGGGCUACACACGUGUUACAAUGGGGGGUACAGAAGGCGGCUACCUGGUGACAGGAUGCUAAUCCCAAAAACCUCUCUCAGUUCGGAUCGAAGUCUGCAACCCGACUUCGUGAAGCUGGAUUCGCUAGUAAUCGCGCAUCAGCCAUGGCGCGGUGAAUACGUUCCCGGGCCUUGUACACACCGCCCGUCAAGCCAUGAAAGCCGGGGGUACCUGAAGUACGUAACCGCAAGGAGCGUCCUAGGGUAAAACUGGUAAUUGGGGCUAAGUCGUAACAAGGUAGCCGUACCGGAAGGUGCGGCUGGAACACCUCCUUUCU
rnacentral:rRNA from 1 species